CGUGUCCGUCUCAACAGCGACAUCUGGUGACCCCGACGCGGCGUGAUUGGAACAGUCGGCGAACAAGGACUUGCGACCGCAGGACGAGGUGCGGUGGAGACGGAGCCCAGCGUAGCUGAGAGCGGCGGAGGAGCUGCAGAGUGAUCCGGAUCGUUAAGACACCUGUGAAGAUUUCUGAUGAUGCUCAGGAGCCUCCAAUAGCACGACAUUUCGGAUCCUUGACUAACACCAGUGGGGUUUCCCCUGGGGUUAAAGUCAAGGUUCGAGAUCUGCAGACAGGUCAGUGGUCAGACCCCUGUGACUUACUAACUUGGGGGCGAGGAUAUGCUUGUGCUUCAACAGGUAAUGGCCCUCGGUGGGUGCCUGCUCGUUGUGUCCGCCCUGUGCUUGGUGAUUCUGGCCGCUGAAGGAUGGAUGGUCCCACAACCCAAGAAAAAUGUGUGGAUGACCUUGGCAAAUGUGACCCACCAGGAUACCUUGUACCUUUCUAUUGCAAAUCCUGACAACCCCUUAUGUUAAUGCGACACUGCUUGUAUAUAGAAAUGCUACUGCUUGGUGUAAUUAUACCUCUCCUAACA